GUGAGGAAUUUUCCGCAAUGGGCGAAAGCCUGACGGAGCAAUGCCGCGUGAAGGAUGAAGGCCUAUGGGUUGUAAACUUCUUUUCUCAGAAAAGAAUUAUGACGGUAUCUGAGGAAUAAGCAUCGGCUAACUCUGUGCCAGCAGCCGCGGUAAGACAGAGGAUGCAAGCGUUAUCCGGAAUGAUUGGGCGUAAAGCGUCUGUAGGUUGUUUAAAAAGUAUUCUGUCAAAGAUUAGGGCUUAACCCUAGAUAGGCAGAAUAAACUUUUAAGCUAGAGUUUGGUAGAGGCAGAGGGAAUGCCCGGUGGAGCGGUGAAAUGCGUAGAUAUCGGGAGGAACACCAAAGGCGAAGGCACUCUGCUGGGCCAAUACUAACACUGAGAGACGAAAGCGAGGGGAGCAAAUGGGAUUAGAUACCCUUGUAGUCC
rnacentral:rRNA from 1 species